AUGAAUAUCACCCCGCUUUUAUACUCCUCAUCUCCCUGUCCGCUCAAGGAGCUCUUCUCCAGAAGCAUACCGAUUGAUGCCUAUGAAGAGAACCAGGGCCCAUGUCCGGUCACAUUUUAUGAGUACAAUACAACCCUAGUAUGCUGUCCGAGAGAGUUCACGCCAAGCAGUAUUGAUGCUGCGGAUAGCAUUGCUGGCCCAGUGUCCUGCCUUAGUAAUGAAACUCACUUUUUGUAUUUGGUGGACGCAUCUGAGCUCAUUUCCAUUUUUCCACCGGAUUGCAAGGCGUGCUCAGAUGCCGCUGUCCCCAUACCAUAUCUCUUCAAGUCAGGUGCGGAAAGAAUACUCAGCUUUGCUGAGAUAACGCUGCACUGGUAUGUAACGGGCCAAGGCAUCUGGUGCCCAGACUGUGAACGCCAAGGGAGACACUGCGCAUUCAGCUCGCAAAGGAAUCAAACAUUCUGCAUGCCUCAUGCUCAUGGUUCGCGUAUCAAAGUUAUCGCGGCUACAUCAUCGGUGGCCGCAUUUGUUGUUCUUUUGUUGACGGUGGCCACUGCACUUUAUCUUUCACUGAAGACAAGAUAUAACGAAGAGAUACAUUUGAAGGUCGAAAUGUUUCUCAAGACAUAUGGCACAUCAAAACCCACAAGGUACACUUUCUCUGAAGUUAAAAAGAUGGCAAGACGGUUUAAGGAGAAAGUAGGGCAAGGGGGAUUUGGAACCGUAUACAAAGGCGAGCUGCCAAAUGGAGUGCCCGUGGCGGUCAAAAUGCUAGAAAAAUCUACAGGAGAAGGAGGAGAAUUCAUUAAUGAAGUCGCAACCAUCGGGAGAAUCCACCAUGCAAACAUUGUCCAGCUCCUUGGCUUUUGCUCAGAAGGAACUAGGCGCGCUCUUAUUUAUGAAUUCAUGCCUAAUGACUCAUUGGAGAGGUAUAUAUUCUCGAAUGAUUCUAAUAUUUAUCGACAACUCCUGGUACCCAAAAAAAUGCUAGACCUUUCUCUAGGCAUUGCCCGAGGAAUGGAAUACCUGCAUCAAGGAUGCAACCAGCGCAUUCUCCACUUUGACAUCAAGCCUCACAACAUCUUGCUGGACUACAACUUCAACCCAAAGAUCUCAGAUUUUGGCCUAGCAAAGCUAUGUGCAAGGGACCAGAGCAUUGUUACUUUAACUGCAGCAAGAGGCACAAUGGGCUAUAUUGCACCGGAGCUAUAUUCAAGGAACUUUGGGGGAAUAUCAUACAAGUCAGAUGUGUACAGUUUUGGAAUGCUGGUGUUAGAGAUGGUGAGCGGAAGGAGGAACUCGGAUCCAAGUGUUGGGAGCCAGAGUGAGGUCUACCUCCCGGAGUGGAUAUAUGAGAAAGUGAUCACUGGGCAAGACUUGAUUCUUACUUUGGAAAUGGCACAGGAAGAGAAAGAACAAGUCAGACAGCUUGCCAUUGUGGGACUAUGGUGUAUCCAGUGGAACCCAAAGAAUCGACCCUCAAUGACAAAGGUGGUAAACAUGUUAACCGGGAGGUUGCAGAAUCUACAGAUCCCACCUAAGCCGUUCAUCUCAUCUGCAAAUCAUCCUAUGCCCUAA
rnacentral:rRNA from 1 species